rnacentral:rRNA from 1 species
UACGUAGGGUGCGGGCGUUGUCCGGAAUUAUUGGGCGUAAAGGGCUCGUAGGCGGUUUGUCGCGUCGGGCGUGAAAAUCCAGGGCUUAACUCUGGACUGGCUUCCGAUACGGGCAGACUAGAGGUAUGCAGGGGAGAACGGAAUUCCUGGUGUAGCGGUGAAAUGCGCAGAUAUCAGGAGGAACACCGGUGGCGAAGGCGGUUCUCUGGGCAUUACCUGACGCUGAGGAGCGAAAGUGUGGGGAGCGAACAGG